AUUGAACGCUGGCGGCAGGCCUAACACAUGCAAGUCGAGCGGAUGAAGGGAGCUUGCUCCUGGAUUCAGCGGCGGACGGGUGAGUAAUGCCCAGGAAUCUGCCUGGUAGUGGGGGAUAACGUCCGGAAACGGGCGCUAAUACCGCAUACGUCCUGAGGGAGAAAGUGGGGGAUCUUCGGACCUCACGCUAUCAGAUGAGCCUAGAUCGGAUUAGCUAGUUGGUGGGGUAAAGGCCUACCAAGGCGACGAUCCGUAACUGGUCUGAGAGGAUGAUCAGUCACACUGGAACUGAGACACGGUCCAGACUCCUACGGGAGGCAGCAGUGGGGAAUAUUGGACAAUGGGCGAAAGCCUGAUCCAGCCAUGCCGCGUGUGUGAAGAAGGUCUUCGGAUUGUAAAGCACUUUAAGUUGGGAGGAAGGGCAGUAAGUUAAUACCUUGCUGUUUUGACGUUACCAACAGAAUAAGCACCGGCUAACUUCGUG
rnacentral:rRNA from 1 species